rnacentral:lncRNA from 1 species
CCCCUGCUCAUCCAAUCACCAGUGACAUCCAACGAGAGGAGCUCCAUCGCAUCGCUCCGAUGCCGACGAAAUCCCAGCUAUCCACCUCCAAAUCGGUCAGAUGAUCCGGCCAUUCCCAAACCAAAUGGAUUCGAUUAAGGAAGAGGGUCACGGUAUCUGAAUAAUGCUCCCAAUAAGAAAAGAUAUAGGAAUCUCAUGAUUUUUGAAUUAUUUUUAUUUUUCUAUUUA